CCUACGGGAGGCAGCAGUAAGGAAUAUUGGUCAAUGGGCGCAAGCCUGAACCAGCCAUGCCGCGUGCAGGAUGACGGCCCUCUGGGUUGUAAACUGCUUUUAUACGGGAAGAACAGCAUCUACGUGUAGGUGUUUGACGGUACUGUAAGAAUAAGGACCGGCUAACUUCGUGCCAGCAGCCGCGGUAAUACGAAGGGUCCAAGCGUUAUCCGGAUUUAUUGGGUUUAAAGGGUGCGUAGGCGGCUUUUUAAGUCAGUGGUGAAAGCCUGAUGCUCAACAUCAGAACUGCCAUUGAUACUGAAGAGCUUGAGUACAGUUGAGGUUGGCGGAAUGUGUCAUGUAGCGGUGAAAUGCUUAGAUAUGACACAGAACACCGAUUGCGAAGGCAGCUAGCUAAGCUGUUACUGACGCUGAUGCACGAAAGCGUGGGGAGCAAACAGGAUUAGAUACCCUGGUAGUCCACGCCCUAAACGUUGAUAACUCGUUGUUAGCGAUAUACUGUUAGCGACCAAGCGAAAGCAUUAAGUUAUCCUAACCGUGGUAGUUAGUUCGUCGAGAGUAGAAGACANAGAGUUAGAGGCGNGAGAGNGCGACGGACGACGACGAGGGAGGAGG
rnacentral:rRNA from 1 species